ensembl:lncRNA
GCAAAUUUACACUCAAUAUAGUCUUAAAUUUGACCAGCUUUAAUACAGCAUGGUGGUUUCGUAAAAGAAACUGGAUUACUGAGCCGCAAGGUAUUCUUUGGUGUGCCCUACAUGUGGAGCCCUUUGAUGGGGCCCUGCAGAGAAAGACCCAGGAGAUGACCCAGGACUAGUGCAAGAGCUGGUGCAAGAAAGAAUUACUGAAAACUCAUCAUUUUAGAGAUAAUGGCGGCUUUUAGGAAACACCAUCAAAACAGGCUCGUACGUAAUGUAAGUUGUUCUUUAAGUUGUUCGUAAAAUGCUAAGAUCUAUUGUUAUCGGGAAAAGCACCCCUGUUGUCUGAGACCUGCUUGGAAGAACAGACAAAUCCAGGAUCAUGUCAAAUCCACAAAAAAGGUCCUCAGGUUCUUUGAAAUACUAUAGAGGGAAAAUAAAUUACAUAGCCUAAUUGUUUCUUCACAUGGACGACUAGAUCUUCUAAAAUAAAAUAAAUAAAUAAAACAAAAUUGUUUUUUAAAAGAAAAAGUAAUAUUCUUAAAAAUAUUCUUAAAAUUCCAC